rnacentral:rRNA from 1 species
UACGUAGGGCGCAAGCGUUGUCCGGAAUUAUUGGGCGUAAAGGGCUCGUAGGCGGUUUGUCACGUCGGGAGUGAAAACUCUGGGCUCAACCCAGAGCCUGCAUCCAAAACUGGCGGGCUAGAGUUCUGGAGGGGUAGCGGAAUUCCUGGUGUAGCGGUGAAAUGCGUAGAUAUCAGGAGGAACACCGGUGGCGAAGGCGGCUACCUGGACAGAAACUGACCGCUGGAGGCGCGAAAGCUAGGGGAGCAAACAGG